UAGUCAUUGGUUUACAGAAAAACAAAAUAAUUUUUAUGAUUGGAAAAGUGUUGAGCUACUUUCUCCCUUUAUUUUCAAGUCCAGCUGUCGUUCUACUUGUUGUUCACAUAAUAUGUAUCCUUCAAAUUUGCAAAUAUGUGAAAAAUACGUUUUAAUAUAAGGGGGCGGAUGGAAAAUUCAGUCUUUAUUUAUUAUGGGCUUGAAGAACAAAAAAAGGACGAUAACAUGAAGUCAUACUUGAAUCCACUCUACAACUUAGGCUUUCAUCCCCACGCGAAACAAUACAAAAAGUCCACGGUGAUAGCGGUCUACUUCGCAGGAUGUGCCUGCUCCAUCCUAUAUAUUUUCGCUGGGAUAUUUAUGCUGGCCGGAAUGCACCUUAAAAACAAACUGAUUUUUAUGAUUGGGAAAGUGUUGAGCUACUUUCUUCCUUUAUUUUCCAGUCCAUCUGUCGUUCUACUUGUUUUUCACCUAUUAUUCAUCUGUAAAAUUUAUAAAUAUGUCAAAAAUACGUUUUAAUAUUCUGCUUUGGGUAUUAUUUCGAUUAUAAAGGCGGCGGAUGGAAAAUUCAGAAAAAUGGACACUUGCAUAUUCAGUAAUCUGCAUUGCCGUGGGUGUUAUCCUUGCUUUAGUCUUUAUUUAUUUUGGGCUUGAAGAACAAAAAAAGGUCGAUUACAUGAAGCCAUACAUGAAUCCUCUAUACGACUUUGGCUUUAAUCCUUACGCGGAACAAUACAAAAAGUCCAAGGCGAUAGCCGCGGUCUGCUUCGCAGGAUGUGCCUGCUCCGUUUUGCAUAUUUUCGCUGGGACAUUUAUGCUGUCCGGAAUGCAGCUUAAAAACGAACCUAUUUUUAUGAUUGGAAAAGUGUUGAGCUACUUUCUCCCUUUAUUUUCCAGUCCAGCUGUCGUUCUACUUGUUGUUCACAUAUUAUGCAUCCUUCAAAUUUGUAAAUAUGUGAAAAAAACGUUUUAAUAUUCUGCCAUUCGUAUAAAUUCGAUAAUAAAGGCGGCGAAUGGAAAAUUCAGAUGUACGUGCAAGUGGCUUAAUAAAUUGAUUAGUUUUGGAGCAAUCGCAUGCAGAUUAUGGGUACUCCUUGGGCCAACAGGUGGCUUAAGCUUGGAGCAGAGUCGAUUAGGAUCCAGAGGUCGUGUCUGGCAAAUUGGAGUAGUCGUAAACGCGAAACGGCAUUAGGGCCUGACAUCCCUCCUCCUCCUCCGAUGUUUUGGGGGGCAACUUGAGCAAAUGCAAAUAUCAUAAUUCUCAACGGCUGUCGCUGGCAGACGGGGCGGAGGAGGGAAGCCGACGGGGAGGAAUAGGCCACAAAUGGCAGCCCCACCUCCAGCCAUGGAUGUGGAAUAUGAAAAGUCGGAGCUGGAGCCAGAGCCAGAGCCGGAGCCGGAUCCACGGAGGCCACCGUUACGAGGGCAGGACAAAUAAAAUUGUUUCGUCACGCCACCGCGAAGGUUGCCAGUUGCUGCUCGAAAUGAUUCUGGUGCACGCAAGACCAAGAGGAACAAGAGCUCCCCUAUAGCCUGCUCCACCUUUACGACCUGCUCAAACAUCAAGCUUAUUUAUUUACUCUAAAAACAAUACCGGAAAAUUAAUAGCAAUUUGCUAGGUUCAUAAAUUUGUCGAAAUAAAUGUCCUUAACUGGGGAGACCCGCUUCACGAAA